GAUGAACGCUGGCGGCGUGCCUAAUACAUGCAAGUCGAGCGAACAGACGAGGAGCUUGCUCCUCUGACGUUAGCGGCGGACGGGUGAGUAACACGUGGAUAACCUACCUAUAAGACUGGGAUAACUUCGGGAAACCGGAGCUAAUACCGGAUAAUAUAUUGAACCGCAUGGUUCAAUAGUGAAAGACGGUUUUGCUGUCACUUAUAGAUGGAUCCGCGCCGCAUUAGCUAGUUGGUAAGGUAACGGCUUACCAAGGCAACGAUGCGUAGCCGACCUGAGAGGGUGAUCGGCCACACUGGAACUGAGACACGGUCCAGACUCCUACGGGAGGCAGCAGUAGGGAAUCUUCCGCAAUGGGCGAAAGCCUGACGGAGCAACGCCGCGUGAGUGAUGAAGGUCUUCGGAUCGUAAAACUCUGUUAUUAGGGACGAACAAAUGUGUAAGUAACUAUGCACGUCUUGACGGUACCUGAUCAGAAAGCCACGGCUAACUACGUG
rnacentral:rRNA from 1 species